rnacentral:rRNA from 1 species
UACGUAGGGGGCAAGCGUUGUUCGGAAUUACUGGGCGUAAAGGGCCAGUAGGCGGCCAACUAAGUCACACGUGAAAUCCCCAGGCUUAACCUGGGAACUGCGUGUGAUACUGGAUGGCUUGAAUUCGGGAGAGGGAUGCAGAAUUCCAGGUGUAGCGGUGAAAUGCGUAGAUAUCUGGAGGAAUACCGGUGGCGAAGGCGGCAUCCUGGACCGACAUUGACGCUGAACGGCGAAAGCUAGGGGAGCAAACGGG